UCCAUCAGACCUAAUAUCCGUAAUUUUCAACCCAUAAUCUUGCACACGAACGAUUCAUACUGUAACAAGAGGCAUCCAUGUCUUGAUUCAGAGAGAAAAUCCAACAAUAGUAUUUGAAAGAUGACCUUGGUUGACAUAAUCUUCAAUUAUGGUGGAGAAUGGAUUAAACACCAAAUGUCAUGUAUUUAACUAAAUUAAUGGAUACUUGGACAGAGUAUGAUCCCGAUAUCCUUUCCUUUGUUGAUAUAGUAAAUGAGUACACUAGUAGGUUUGGAUAACAACUUAUUGUUACAGUUCCCUCUGGUAACUAUGAUGAGGUAGAAGACGAUAAUGGUAAAGACAGUAAUUAUACUUAGUGUCUGAAGAAUUUAAGUUCCUUAACAUAUAUACGGUAGAUGAAGGUGAGGAAUUAAUAAAAGUUCAUCAAAUUUCCCUGCAUUCUGAAUCAUAUGUUGCAACAACUGAAGUUGAAACUGACUGUGAAAGUGAUGAUAAUCAUGUUGAGGUAGAGUAUUAUUCUGAUCACUUGGAUAGGAUUGCCUUUAAAAAAAUAGAAUCAUUGAUGAAUCACUGCUAGAUUACAAGGACUUAUGCAUAGGUAUGAGCUUCAAAGAUAUACCCGAAUAUAGAUUAUGCAUUAACUUGUAUGCUCUUGUAAACAAAAGAAACUUGAAGCACUUUAAAAGCGAUCCAUCAAGGUUGAGGUAUGAGUGUGUCGCCGGAUGUCAUUCAUUACUAAUUUCAGGAGAUAAAUACCUGCCAGGGGUUAGAGUAAAAACCCUGAAAAACACGAAUGAUUUUAAUGAAGUGUUUGACAAUAGAAGUGUUGAUCAUCUUACAAUAGCAUAUUAUUUCAAGUCUAAAUUGCAAAAUGACCCAACUUAUAGGAUCAAGGUUUUGAGGGAUGAUUUAAAAGAAAGAUUUGAUGUCAAUGUUAGUCAUGGUAAAUGCAAUCGAGCAAAGCUAUUGAUUUUGGAAAAACAUGAAGGGAGCUUUAUAAAUGAUUAUAAUAGACUUGAGACUUAUGCAAAUGAGCUAUGGUCUAGUAAUCUAGGAAGUGAUACAAUUAUAAAUCUAUCGAAGGAUGCACUUUCCAAUGGUAAGCAAAGACUCUUGAGGAUGUUCAUUUGCUCUCAUGCACUUAAAAUGGGUUUUAAGAAUGGGUUAAGACCCUUUAUUAUCAUGGAUGGAACCCUUUUAAAAGGGAAAGCCAAGGGCCAAUUGUUAACUGCUGUUGGUUAAGAUUGUCAGGGUCAUAGUUACGUUAUCGAUUGGCCAGUUGUUGUCAAAGAAACAAAAAGAACAUGGAAUUGGUUCUCAGGCCAUCUUAAAAUGUCAUUGGAUCUCAAGGAUGCGGCUGGAGGAAUAACAUUCAUUUCAGACAUGCAGAAGGUAACAUAUUUAUAUUCUUUUUUUUUUAGUUAAUUCAUUUUUACAUUAACUUUUUAGUUCAGUUCAGAAGCUUCAUCACUGUACAACUCUUUCAUUUUAAUUUUGUCUAAAACUAGAAAUUGAAGAAUUGUCCAGUUCUUAUAUACAAUUCUGAUCAGAAGUAAAAUGAAAGCACUAGACAGGUUUGUAUUCUUUUUGUUAAUUCUUAUGUUAUGGGGAUUACUUAAAGCAAUGGAGGACGUGUUUCCUUAAUCACAUAACAUAUUUUGUGCGGAACAUGUUGAACCAAAUUGGUGCAAAACAUGGAAGUCUGAGGAAUUGCAGAAGGUAUUUUGGUGGUGUUCAUGGACCACAUAUGAGGAAGAUUUCAGAGAAAACUCAAUAUGAUUGGUUCUUUAGAUAAAAUAGCAGAUAAGGAUUUACUGAAAUGUCCUUCCAAUGCUUGGUGUGGAACCUAUUUUUACAAUGUAUGCAAGAACUAUGAAGUGGUGAACAAUUUCACAGAAUUGGUGAAUAAAUGGUUUCUAGAAGGUAGAGGCAAACCAAUCAUCAAAAUGCUCGAAGAAAUAAGAACAAGGUCAUGAAUCAAUUGAGAAAAAUAGAAGAUGAAGUAAGAUUUUGGGCAACUGAGUUUAGCCCAAAGAGUAUGCAGUUGUUUAAUGAGUACAUGAAAAUUGCUCAAAAUGCAAGGUUAUUUUCAAUGGUGAUUACGGAUAUGAGAUCACAGAAGGUUGCGAUAGGCACACUGUAAGUAUGAUUUUGAAGAGAUGCACAUGUAGGCAAUGGGAUCUAAAUGGAAUUCCAUGCCCACAUGCAAUUUAAACAAUGUUGUACAACUAGUUACACCCUUUGAGUGAAAUGAGUUGGUGGAAUAGCAAAGAGGCAUUCCUGUAGACACAAAUUGCAACCUGUUAGAGGUGAAAAUGUUUGGAAAGUGGAUCCACACCAAGCAAUGGAAUCACCUGAAACUAGUCAAGAUGGUUGGCAGACCCAAAACUAAAAGGGUUAGAAAAAAAGAUGAAGCAAUUAAGAGGCAAGGCGAGUGGUCAAGUUCAAGAAAGGGAAGAGUUAUGACAUGCAACAAUUGUGGAGAGCCAAACCACAAUAGUAUAGGAUGCAAAAAGAUAAAAUAUCUUCAAUUCUAAUAACAUCUUUUUUUCCCAUGAAGUUUGAUUUCUAACUUGUAUUUUUUACAUACAAUAGCUUGUCAAUACAACACUAAUGAAAAAGAGCAGGGAAUUGAAAGGUGAAGAUGAAGAGAUAAACCUUACAGCAACCUAAUCAACCUAAGAAAGACAUGUUGUUAACUUCAUGUCUACACUAAUAUUAAGGUAGCAUGUAACACAAUUUUCAGGUCCAAGACCAAGCAUUCCAAGUCAUACGCCAGAUUUUGAGUUAUUUAAAACUUCAAAACAAAUAUCAAGCAAAGAAGAUGAUACUUCAUUAAAACAUAAUGUUCAUCCAGAUUUGACAAUAAACUUUCCAAAUAAUGCCUAUGGUAGUGUCAGAAAGCACAAUAUUUCGUGCUAGGAAACAAGGACCAAUUCCUUCAGGAAUUAGGAUUAUUAACUUUGUUGGUGAUCACAAUGGAGUGAGUGUUCCUUCAAAUCUUCCCUACUUACCAACCAACCUCACAUGGAAGGGAAAAGCUUCUAUAACUCAAAGUCAAUUGAAGAUGCAAAAUAGGCUAAAAAAUUAUGAAAUUGAAGCCAAGAAAAAGGCAACAAUGAUCUAUUUGGUUGAAAAAUCUUUUUAUUAUCUUUCAUGGGUUUUGAAUUACUGUUUAUGACAAUACAUUUUAGUUAAUAUCUUUUCAGUUUACUCUUUUUUGUGGUGAACAUUGAACAUGAAUGUCACAUUAUGCAACUUUAUACUAGUUAUGAUGUAAUUGUCCUGUUGUUGCUGAAAACAAUGGUUAAUUGUAAAAUAUUGCCAUGCUGGAAUGAUGUUAAAUCUGCAACUACA